CAAGAGACCCCGAAAAGGGCCUUCGACC
rnacentral:rRNA from 1 species